CAUGGGGCUUAGCCUCAGACUCCCUCAGGAAGGGAAGGACGUGCAUCCUGCCUGUCCUGUGCAUACGGGGUUCCUCUCCAUGGACUCUUUCCAAGAUGUUGGUCUCCAGAAUGCUCCUGGCUCUGCUCUUCUUGGAAGCAAUGAUGAGACAUCUGUCAGUGUGAGCCCGCAGAGGGAAGCUGAGGUCUGCUCAUGGCUCUAGGAUCCAGUAACUCUUCCUGUAAGAACGUGUGGCUUGGAUGUGAAGAGAUGCUAUCGAUCAGACAAUGGAGGUUGCAGAUGAAGGAGAAAAGGUUGGAAUUAAGCCGACAGCACUCAGCUGCUGUAAGCUAGACAUUGCAGAAUGGUGGCUUGCAUGAAACCAGAGGCCAAACUCUAUGGGCUGGAGCCCCACAGGGAGUCCUCCAAGUGAAGAAUGAGCUCUGAGCUGCAAGGGAGAUCCACUCCCACUAAACUAACUGGGUUCCUCCACCUCCCGAGGGGACUGACUUUGUUUGAUGGGCUCUGUCAUCCUCAGGAGGAAACUUUCCUCUACAAAAUGGUGAAAUGGUGCCCACGUGGAAACAUUCUGACUGUGCAUGUGCCUGGAGCCCGGCGUUGUUGCAGAGGAGGAGAGUGGCGUAGGAUGGCUCCAAAGAAAAGAGGGCUGCGUCAGGAAGAAAACCUCCUGCCAUGUCAGCUUGCCCAGACCUUUCUGUGA
rnacentral:lncRNA from 1 species